UAAGAAAAUCGGCCAUUUUGAAAUAGCUGUCACGUUUGGCGCGUGAAUUAUACAAUAAAAAAAAUGUUUAAGACUUUUGUUAUAUUAAUUGCAGUUUUAUCAGCAUGUUUAGUUGAGGCGCAUACUUCCAGACGAUUUCCAAAUGAUGAUCAAGAAAUAGUUUGUACAAAAGAGGCCUGCGGACCAAAUUGUGGAGGAGACUGCUGUUGUUUAGUACCAAAACAGAAAUCAAAAAGAUCUGUUCCUUCG